rnacentral:rRNA from 1 species
GUGGCAGACGGGUGAGUAAUACGUGAACAAUCUUCCCUCUAGCGGGGGAUAACCUUGGGAAACCAGGGCUAAUACCGCGUGAGACCACGUCCCGACAUCGGGACGAGGCUAAAGCUCCGCAAGGGGCGCUUGAGGAGGAGUUCACGGACUAUCAGCUAGUUGGCGGGGUAACGGCCCACCAAGGCUACGACGGUUAAGCGGUCUGAAAGGACGAUCGCUCACAAUGGCACUGAGACACGGGCCAUACUCC